rnacentral:rRNA from 1 species
AUUGAACGCUGGCGGCAGGCCUAACACAUGCAAGUCGAACGAGUGGCGGACGGGUGAGUUAUGUCUGGGAAACUUCCUGAUGGAGGAGGUUAACUACUGGAAACGGUUGCUAAUACCGCAUACCAUCGGAUGUGCCCAUAUGGGAUUAGCUUGUAGGUGGGGUAAAGGCUCACCUAGGCGACGAUCCCUAGCGGGUCUGAGAGGAUGACCAGCCACACUGGAACUGAGACACGGUCCAGACUCCUACGGGAGGCAGCAGUGGGGAAUAUUGCACCAUGGGGGCAAGCCUGAUGCAGCCCUGCCGCGUGUAUGAAGAAGGCCUUCGGGUUGUAAAGUACUUUCAGCGGGGAGGCGUUACCCGCAGAAGAAGCACCGGCUAACUCCGUGCCAGCAGCCGCGGUAAUUC